UCUGAGCGUCGGCCCCGGGUGCGAGUCCGGCCUUUGGCGUAGUAUGGGGGGGCGAGGGCUCUGGAAGGAGCGGGGCAGCGAGUGAACCGCAGGCCAACCUCGGCCUGACCUCCGACUGACGGACUGCGGAGCGGGCGAGGGCGUGUCUGUCCGAGCUGUGUAAGCCGCAACGCCUUUCCGCUUGCUGUGCGGUUUAAUGGGAGUUAAUGGCGACGUAAAUGGUACUCAAGGUGGCUUCAAAGGUUCUCUAGUUUAUCCUCAUGACAACCACCCUUGAGGAUCCCAGGAAAUUUGGAAGAACAGAAAACAGCAUCAUUUAAGGAUACUGCAGCAAUAUGCAGUUGAUCAGCAUUCUUUUGUUACUCACUAGAUGUCUAGGCCAGGCUGCUGCAGCCACAACUCACAACAGGGUUGCUACACCUUUGACUUGCAAGACUGAUCAUCCAUGAAAUACAAGAAACAGGGAUGGAGGAAGAAAUAAUCAAGGGUGAAGAAGAAAGAGACAGUGAAUAUAGGGAGCAGUUUGUUCCCAGCACAGACACUGACAUACAGCAACCUCUUUAAGUUAAUCUUCUGAACUUCAAAGACUCCCCUUCAGAACACUUCUGAGUACAUGUGAGACACAGAAGAACCUUUUGCAUCUGUCUAUAGUGUGACAACAUUCUUCAUGUUUUGGACAAUGAAGGAAUCAGGGGAGAAUAUGGCUGGAUCAUAUUCUGCUCAGAAAGACUUUAGAAUUCAGCUUAAUGUGUUAUGAUGACAAAGAAAAACUCCUGGGCCUGAGAUAUAUUUACUGCAUGUAGUUCUACAGUUUGAUAUGCACUGUACAUAUGUCUAUAUAGCUCUUAAAAGAUCAAUAUACUAAAAUAAUACCUCAUGUGAGACUUAACAUCCAGCAGUUCCAACGAAGUCACCCUGGGUUCUCCAGCAAGGUUCUGCAAAAUCUUAAGUCUGGGGCCACAGUGUUUGUAGAACUCAGUACAGAUAUUCAACAGGGACUCACGGGGACGCCUGAACUCUUCCCUAGCAAUGCGUUCAUCAAGUUCCUCCCGCUGAAGUCCUUGGCCUUCCUCCAGCAAGUGAAGGUUUUCCCUGAAAGAGGCAGAAUGGAAAAGCGAAGGUAAAGAAAAUGUGAGAAUGAAUGAAAAGUUUGUAAUGAACCCCUCCUUAUGAACAGCUAGGAAUGUACCUGUGAGGUUAAUCAUGACUUGAUGUAAGUAAUUUCUUCCAUGAAGGAAAGGAAGAAUAAACAAUUCAGGAGCUAAAAAGAGA